CCCUGCUCCUGCCUAGGACCUUCCUGUCCCGGGGCGGGAGGCAGGAGCCCGGCAGCGCGCCGCCUGCCCCGCCCCAGGAGAUCCUUUGUAUACCGUGGAAUUUCAAAGGCGGAGUAGUAGCUCAUUGUUCCCAUCUCUGACAUGAUUUACAUUUCUUCUUUCCCAAAAACCUUUUAAUCAAAACUCUCAAGUUUCAUUUGAGUUUUAUUUCUUAAUGUGUGUAGUAAAUUUUGUCUGAGUUAUGUAAAGGGAGAUCAAAUUACAGUAUCCUUCAUUCAUUGUGUUCUGUCAUUUAUUUGAAAGACAUUUUCUUAUGUUGUUUUUACAUUUUGCUUUUGAAGUGUCAUGAAAUAAAAGUUCAUUUAAAUCAUC